CCCUGUUUACCAAAACAUCUACUUGAUCUGAGUUCAUACCGGACGACCUGUUUACCAAAAACUGCUCCGUGAUCGAGAACUAGACCGGAGGGCCUGGAUGAUUACACUGUGUCCGGGGCUGAUCACUGAAACUGAUCCCCCCGUGAAGAAGCGGGGAUAAAUAUAUAAGACGAGAAGACCCUAUGGAGCUUUAAACUAAACACCACUUACCUUUAACCACUCCCUUACAAACAGGCAAAGAUCGUGUGUGUUUUCAGUUGGGGUGACUGCGGAGCAAAAUAAAACCUCCACGAUGAAACAAUCCUCUAAUCUAAGAACAACAUUUCAAAGAAUCAACAAAUUGACAUAAAUUGACCCAAAUAUUAAUUUGAUCAACGAACCAAGUUACCCUAGGGAUAACAGCGCAAUCCAUUUCAAGAGCUCAUAUCGACAAAUGGGUUUACGACCUCGAUGUUGGAUCAGGGUAUCCCAGUGGUGCAGCCGCUACUAAAGGUUCGUUUGUUCAACGAUUAAAACCCUACGUGAUCUGAGUUCAGACAGGAGAG
rnacentral:rRNA from 1 species